rnacentral:misc_RNA from 1 species
AAAGUGCAAAAAGACACCAUACAGAUUUGACACGCUCUUUCCAAAGCUGCUGCCAUUGCCACCAACAGAAUCAGUGUGUUUCAUCCUUCCACUACCCACUAGAGUUGGUCACUUGGCCAGAAGCUCUACAUCGAUGGCAAACAAACUUAGCAGGCACAGAAUCCGAGUCGGGAAUACCAGAACACCUUGUGUGCUGCCACACACCACACACAUCACAAGCCAACAUUCUCUCUCCAUCAUCAUCCUUAGCACCACAAUUGCAAUCAACAGUCCAUCUCUCAAUUCCUCUCUCCAUUCUAAAUUUGCAAAGACCAUUUUUCCCAAGGCAUCUCCCCCGUAGUCUAACAAAUUCAGUUGACCCUAACAAGAGUUUGACCUGGGUGGAAUCGUCAACACCGCUACAGCCAAGAAGCUCUUCAGCAUGGAAUUUUUUGAACAUCAAAUAAACUUCUUGAAAUGCCCUUGAUGCUUCAAGCUUGAGGUCAGAAACAGUAGCAUUUGGGGGCAAGACAACUAGUUCUGGCGGGUAGUUUGGAGCAUUUUCUUCUGUCUGAUCCAUUAUUUCCACAUCACAUGAGAUGCAUAUAACAGGUGGGUUAGUAAUUUGUGAUACCUUCUCAGCCAUGUACUCUUUCACAAACUGUUUGCAGUCGAGAAGCUUUUCAGCUGAACCAAUAGCAAGAUCCCUUGUGGCUUCAGUUCCGUAACUCACCAUGGUCCUAGGGUGUAGCAAGCAUUCAUAAAGAAAUCUCAGGUCUUGCAUGAGAUUUUCUUCAGAUGGGCAGGUAAUUAUAGAAGAACCAAUGCCAAUGUUGACAACAUUUGAAGGAGGAUUUCCAGGCUCAAGCCUGUACUCAAAAGAGCCUGAAUCAGGAUUGCAUCGGGUACCAACAAUCAUUCCAUCAGCUGCCGCUUUCCCCCCAAGUUCCUUAAGGCAAUGAUCAAGGAGCUCGGGGGGAGCCACUUUGCAAACAGCACCUCUCAGCGCACGCCAACUUACCCAGUUGGACCCAGAGACGGCCCGAAGAACUCUGAACAUGGCUUCUUCAACAUGUUCAACAUCAGCCUUACUCCAUGAAGGAGAAAUCCCUGUGCAAGAACGACGCUUCUUGCUGGUAGAAUCCUCAACCCUUGAUGGAGACUUGUGAGCAUUUUGGAUCAAACUUAUCAAAUAACAGAAGAGAUCUCUUGUAUUUACAAGCUCAUGGUCCGACAAAGAUUGGUAAAAUGAGAUUAUAUCCUGCAAGCGAGUGCGUGGCUUCCGCCCUUGAGAAAGAAAUAUGGACAAGGGUAUGCUGGAGAGAGUUUCAACAGCCGACUUAUAAGCAUCAAGGGUCAAAGCAAAACUACCAGCACCGAAUUCAUAACCCCAGUCACCAUACCACGGACGGCCUUUGGUUAUAGCAUGAAGAAGCCUGUAAUCCAAUCCAUACUUCUUCGACACAUCCAUAACACUGACCUUUCUGACUCCAAGAGUCUUACAUAAACGAUCCCAAAAGUCCAUGAUAUGACAUCCAGAAAGGAUCUUGGAGCCCCCUUCUCUGCCAUUGACCCUAAGAAGGUGACCAUAGCCAUUUGAAUGGACAACGCCGUGUAAAAGAUGAGUGGUGUCUUCUAACUGAUGAUAUAUCC